rnacentral:lncRNA from 1 species
UUUCUAAGAUGAAAUUCAAAAUGCCUUCUUGUCAAGUUCUUCAGAACCUCCAAAUUGUUAGAGGAAGCAGUAAGCAUACAGCCAACAAGCAGAAGAGAGUUAAUACAACAUCUUUUAGAAAUGCGAACAUAAGGCUAGGCAUACUCGUCCAGACAUCAUUUAUCCUUCAGGAACUGAAGCAUUUUUGAUGCAGUUGACCUUUAGAUCAGAUUAGGGCAAAACAGAAAGGCAGCUUUUCCCUAUAACUCAAACUCUUGCCAAGGGAUUCCUGAAAAAGAAAUACAAAAUUUUUUAAAGCGUUGAUUUUUAUGCAGAUAGAUCCUCAAUUCAAAUUGGGAGCAUAUGAACAUCAUUUACCCUGCUGGUUAUGGAAAUGGAACAUCAAUAUCUAUGAAGUCUAAAGGAGGUAAUCUCUGCCUGCUUCUCUAUUACUGACAUUUAAAAACCAACUCUAACAUUUUAGUUGGUAUGCCUUAAGGAUGUAUUAUUGUAAAGCACAUAUUUAUUUCAAAGGAAAAUUUAAACUGGUAGCUGCACUGGUCCCUUUUGGAGGACACUUGACUUGGUCAGAGCGCCUCAUUGCAAGGGACAAAAAGUCACCACAUAGUAGCCUGGGCAAAAGAGACUGUUUAUUAGAUGGAGACUGAGGCUUCUAAGGGAAGAGUUAAAAAUUGGCCACAAGCAAGUGUUGCACGCAGCUUAAGCUUUUCUCUCCAUGUCUCCUCUCUGUCUCACUUGGCUAGCAAGCUUUGUUCUCUUCGUGUGGUGAGGAACGUGAUAUACACAUGUUCCUGAGUUUUGCUUCUUGGGGGAUUCUAUUUCAGAGAGGGCUAAUUGUUUUUUUUCCAGUUCUGGCUUGAAAAAUACCAGGAAGAACUCUGAUGGGCUUGGCCUCGGCCCAAAUGACAGUGGCCUGUAGGACGGACCAUGGAAGAAUGUGGUGUUUUCCAAUAGCAGCACUAAUGUGUGUCUAUUGAAGAGCCAUCUCCCUAAGAGAGGGGAAGUACAGGGCAAAAUGGAUUCUAAAUGCCUACUUGAAUUAUGCGUUCUUAGGUUAAAACCUUGCAUUUUGAUUUGAAAGCUGUAAUGGAGACAUAAUCCAUUUUAUAGAAGAAAAUCAUGUCAAUAGGUAGCCUCGGCACCUUCUGGCAUUUGCAGAAAUAUUCAUGUGACCUACUGUAAGCAUAAUCUUGCACUUCCAGACCAAGGAGGUUAUUUAGAAAUCCGUAUUGUUUAUCAUAUGGACAUCUGUGCGAUUUUGCUAGCCCAGGAUCCAGUUUUUCUUCCUUAGGAGAUGGUGCUUUAGUUUUUCUUUUAGGAAACCAGUACCUUCUCUAUUCUCAAACUAUGCGAUUUCCAUGAAGUUGACACUAUGUGCUUGUCUCAACAAUGUGCUAGUGACUCAGCCUUGGCCAAUGGAAUGCCACAUUCCCCUGACCAAUUAUGGUCCAAACAUGGACUUCCUCCCAGUUUAAGGGAUUUUUCUGGAACAGUUGGGAAAUGGCAUCCUUGGGAAUGCUUCUAAAGCUGCUGGUGGCCACAGCUUAAGAAGACCUGAGUGAGCAUCAAGGUAAGAGAGGGGACAGAACAGGGCCAAGUGAUGGAAAUUCCUGAUAACAGGGUUAAAGCCCAACUGUGUCUAAGCUGGACAGUGAAGUGAGACAGUAAAACUCUUCCCCUUCCUCUCUUCCCCUCAGAUUUGAUUAUAGCUUGUUUGAUUUGGACUUCUGUGCCUUGCAACAAACGUGAAAAGUAGAAUUAUCUUCAUGACUAGAACUGUAGUUCAUAAUUAGUUCUCCUGCUUGAGUACCUUAUGUUCUAGACUAUUCCCACAUGACAAACUACCAUAAAACCUAGUGGCAUAAAGAAGUAACCAUCAUUUCAUUUUUGCCGUGGUUUUUAUGGGUCAGGAAUGUGGAAAGGGCUUGGCUAGGAAGUUCUUGCUUGGUGUGCCCAUUCAGUAGAAAUCAAACAGUGGUUGGAGGUGGGGUCAAGGGGAGAAGAGUGUGCUGGAGCAUCUGGGGACUGGCAGCGAAGCUCUCUCUCCUCAUGAACUCUCAGUAGCUCCGUUUGUACUACUUGAGCUUUUUCACAGCAUGGCACCCACAGCACUCAGACUGCUUAUGACUUCAGCGUUGAGUAUUCCAGAGCCCUGGGUGUAAGGUGAAUCACCUUCUAUGACCUAUCUUUGAAUGUCACAUAGUAUCAUUUCCACAACACUCUGGUCAACUGGUCAAUAAGCUUGGCCCAGAAUUAAGGGGAGAAAAUGUAGACCACACUUCUUAAGGGUGACACAUCAACAAAUUCGCAGACAUGUUUUAGAACACCACAUAUUAGAGUUCCCUUGUGGCACAGUGUGUUAAGGAUCUGGUGUUGUCACUGAAGUGGCUCAGGUCGCCACUACGGCUUGGGUUCAAUUCCCUGGCCUGGGAAUUUCCAAGUUCCAUGAGCAUAGCCAAAAACAAAAACAAAAACCCACCACAUAUUAUGAGCAAGCCCCAAACUGUGAGAAGGGCACCAUGGUCAAAAUGAUGUAUUUAAGUAGACUUAGUUUUGUGAUAUUGUGCCUUAGUUUACACUUUGGGAGCUGGAUUGACUUUUUCGGGUCAUUAAGGCACCACAUCUAGUCAUGUAUGGAAAAGUAAAUCAAGAUUUGUUGUGAUCUUUCAGGCUUUAGAAUUCCGUUUUGUUUUCUUAUUAACGCAUUUCAUAUUUCUUUUUUUAAUUUUAUUUUUAUUUAUUUAUUUUGUCUUUUUAGGGCCACACCCAUGGCAUAUGGAAGUUCUCAGGCUAGGGGUCAAAUCAGAGUUGUAGCUGCUGGCCUACCCCACAGCCACAGCCACAGCCACAACAACGUGGGAUCUGAGGCGCAUCUGCAAACUACACCAUAGCUCACGGCAACACUGGAUUCUUAACCCACUGAGUGAGGCCAGGGAUCAAACCCACAUCCUCAUGGAUACUAGUCGGGUUCAUUAACUGCUGAGCCACAACGGGAACUCCGCAUUUCAUAUUUCAAUAUACAUAGAAUUGAAAAAUAUUUAGAUUUGAAUUAGUUCUCUACUUCACAAUUGCUUAUAUAUUGACUUAGUACUGAGACACUGUCAUUUAGUACUUGGCACCUAAUUCAAUGGAAGCUUCCGGAAGUGCUUCAUUGUCUUCCAUUGACCAGUUUAAGGAGUUGAGAGUAAUCUUCUUUUACGGACUCUGUAUGAAAUAGCCAUUGGUAUGGAGAUUUGUAAAACUUGACUUGGGUUAUGGUUCUAUCACUUCUCUGACUAUUUAGAAAUCCUCUUUUAUACUGUCUCGUACCAUGGAGUAAAAAUCAGAAUGCAGGUCUUUCCAACUUUCUCCCAAGUAGAGGAAAUCUAAUAGAUCUUGAACUAAUUUUUUUUUUUUUCUGUUUCAAAAUGUAGCAAGUAAUCUAUUGGAAUAAAACCAGCAGUUGAGUAACUCAUGCAAAGGUAAUUUAGAGCACAAAUUAAAUCUGUCAGACUGGUAUUAGAUUUGCAAAAGCUCAUAAAUAACAAAUGAAAGGUCACAGAGCUGUGAAAAUGAGAGUGUACUUCUUCAUAAGAGAGGGACUGAUCCUCAGUGGUUAUUCAAAUAGCAGUGCACAAAAAGGAAAUGCAACAUCUUUUCUAAAUGUCUAGAACAGUCCAAAGACACAGUGGGCUCCAGGGGAAAGCAUCAAAGUCCUAGAAAAGACCCUUCAUAUCCUUGAGCAUGUCCAGCAUCGUAUUUGUCGGGUUGAGGGAUUAAAGCUCCAUCCACUGCUGAGAAUCUGUAGAGAAAAGAUACACCCCCCUCAGCAGAGGACAUAUUUCAGUAGCUGUUAGACUAACUGUGAGUGUGUGUCACUCAUCUUUCACUUUUCAGUUCCUAGAAAAUACUAAUAGAGUGAGUGGUGUUUCAUGAUUUACUGUAGGAAAGAAAGCAGUUGGUGACAUUAUUAAACAGGCCCGCCCAUCCUGUUUUCUCCCGGAAAAGAAAGGUGGAAAAUAUGGCUCUGGCUACUCUGAAGUAGACACAUUAUUUUACUGUGCAUUGCAUGCAGAUCUGUGGUGUGUCUGUGCUGUGAUGAGCUUGACUUGUGUAGGGAAACAAAUUAUCUAUCUAUCUAUCUAUCUAUCUAUCUAUCUAUCUAUCUAUUUAUUUUUGUCUUUUUAGGUUCACAUCCGUGGCAUGUGGAGGUUCCCAGGUUAGGGGCUGAAUUGGAGCUGUAGCUGCCAGCCUAUGCCACAGCUACAGCAAUGCCAGAUCCAAGCCACAUCUGCAGCCUACACCAUAGCUCACAGCAACUCUGGAUUCUUAACCCUCUGAGUGAGGCCAGGGAUCAAACCUGCGUCCUCGUGGAUACUAGUGAGAUUCUUUUCUGCUGAGCCACAAUGGGAAUUCCCAAAUCUCUAUUUAUUAAAAGCAAUGUGUAGGCCUCAUCUAUCAUGGAGAAACUCAAGUCAGCACAGAGAAAUGGAGAAAACAUCUGCAAAUCAUAUAUCUGAAAAGAGUCCAGAGUCCAGCACAUAGAAAGAACUCUUACAACUCCAUAAUAAAAAGACAAUAACUCAAUUUUUAAAAUGAGCAAAGAAUUUGAAUAGGCAUUACUGCAAAGAAGAUAUACAAAUGACCAGUAAGCACGUGAAAAAUGUUCACCAUCAUUAGUCACUCGGGAAAUGAACAUCAAAACCACAGUGCACUUUACACUCACUAGGAUGGCU